rnacentral:rRNA from 1 species
UACGUAGGGUGCAAGCGUUGUCCGGAAUUAUUGGGCAUAAAGAGCUCGUAGGCGGUUUGUCGCGUCUGCUGUGAAAACCCGAGGCUCAACCUCGGGCCUGCAGUGGGUACGGGCAGACUAGAGUGCGGUAGGGGAGAUUGGAAUUCCUGGUGUAGCGGUGGAAUGCGCAGAUAUCAGGGGGAACACCAAUGGCGAAGGCAGAUCUCUGGGCCGUAACUGACGCUGAGGAGCGAAAGCAUGGGGAGCGAACAGG